ACUUCGUUGGCUCGGUUUCAAACAACGAUGGGACUCGACAGUUUCAAGAUUCCGAAGCAGGAAUUCGCAAGUGGGCGAGCAAGAAAGGAAGGAGAAGCUCCCUGGGACUCUCAGCUAAGUUUCCAAAACUGAAAAGGAGAGGCGGCUACGAAGGAAACUCUAAGCACUACAGAUUGACAUACAGAUUUCCAAAUGACCCGACAAACCAGAAGUGCCAAAUUCACA